rnacentral:rRNA from 1 species
UACGUAGGGGGCGAGCGUUAUCCGGAUUUAUUGGGUUUAAAGGGUGCGCAGGCGGCACGGCAAGCCGGCGGUCAAAUCGCGGGGCUCAACCCCGCCCAGCCGUCGGAACUGCCGGGCUAGAGUGGGCGAGAAGUGCGCGGAAUGCGUGGUGUAGCGGUGAAAUGCAUAGAUAUCACGCAGAACUCCGAUUGCGAAGGCAGCGCACCGGCGCCCUACUGACGCUCAGGCACGAAAGCGUGGGUAUCGAACAGG